rnacentral:tRNA from 1 species
UUGUAGUUAGGUUAAGUUAAACUGAUAAUUUGUGGUGUUAUAGAUAUAGGUUAUACUACAAA